AUGAACAAUCGUAGUAGUGUAAAUGAAAGUAAUUUGGUGAGUUUCGCGACUGAUUUGCCUACUCUUAAUCAAUUGGACACAAAAGACUCGUUGUUAAGCUUCCCAUUCGACCAUAUAUACGCUUGCCAUUCUGAUAGUUCGGAUCGGAGGCAAACGCUUCAGCUCGACAAGGAGGUUGAGAUAUCUACUCAUUGUGUCGUUGAAGAAGAAAAGGAUUUGUUAGUGAGCCCCAGUCCUGAAGUGAACCAGCUUUCAACCAAACUCACCGCUGCUGAAAGCCAAAAUAAGAAGUUGAAGGAACUACUUAUCUACCACCUGGAUUUGAUUCAGCAGCAGAAUGAUUUAAUGACAAAGAGAGAGAAGGUGUAUCAAGCAUUGAAACAAGAGAAUGAUACACUUAAAACUAAACUGAAUCGUAUGGACAAAAAAGCUCCAGCGAAUCAAAGACAAAGUGUCAAUCCUCCACCAUUAGUGAAUGUUGUUCCCACAACAGCUACAUCAACGGUUGUAAAAACCGAACCAUCCCCAUCUUCACAGAUUAUGUUUAAUAGUUUUACUGAGCUAUUAUUGCCAGACAGCCAAACAAACUCGUACAUCUUUAACAGUGAUAUCAAUAAAUCAAAAGCAUUUACCAACAAUUCUGUUGACAUAACAAGGAGCUCAGAAUCGGAUGUAACUAGCUUUCUGCCUACUGAUUGGGCUGUGCCGUCUAUGUCAAUAUUGGAUAGCAAUUUGAAUUGCGACAAUUUCACCAUGAUUGAGAACAAGCGUUCCUAUGUUAAAAAAGAGAGCGCGAAACCGGAGCCCCGUCCGGAGCCGCUCUAUACUGUGACAUCCAACAGCGGCAACCCCGUUAUCCAGAAGAUACAAAGAAACCGAAGGCGGACCUCAGGCAUUGGAAGCCUAAGCCGCAUGUCGCGCAAUACCACACCCAAAGUAGAAAUGCCAGACACAAGUAAAAUGUUUGAAGACGAAAAAAGUUUUGAUCGCAAUUAUAGCGUUAAUAAGAAAAAUAAAGUAAAUACAUAUGGAAAAUCAAGAUCAACCAUUCCAAAAAAAACGACUCAGUUCACAGGAUCAUUAUCAGAUAGACUACAAUUGAUUGAUACUACGCCUACGGGGGAAGAUCCGUACCAGCUUGGUGAGGCUGACAUGAGAGAACAAUCGCCAAUCCCAAAACUUAUGUUACAAAAAUCACAUCAUGGGAGAAUGAAACUGUCCAGUGAUAAUCCAUCUACGGCUACGAGUACACGUCGCAUUUAUGACCCGGCAAUACCAGAAACAACAACUAAGCCGCUGAUCAAACCAAAGGUCGAAAGAUAUAGUUUAUCUAGCACCUUUGUACCUGAGCCAAAAAAAGAGUUACCAAAGACUCUUAUGGAAGGAGAGCCGGAUAUGGAUUUAGUGAAAAGUGAGCCAGAUCUAGAUUGGCAAAUGUUUAGUACCAGUAAAACUGGUAAUGAGACAAGCUUAUGUGAUUUUUCUUAUGGCGAAAACUCCAGCAACUUAGCCACAAGUAUUCUCCCUGGGUUGGAUUCGGUAGAAUUCCAAGAUUUAUUUAAUGCCGAUUCUCCAUUGAAUUUGGACACCUUGAAUCCGGUGGAUUUUACUCCAAUAACGGAAAACAAUAACCCUGAUAAAUCGAAACAGCGAGGUGCACGAACCACAAGCUUAUUAAGUCCAGAAGCACCUGGUGGAUCUGGCCUUAGUGCCAUUCCAGAUUUUGCUUCACCUGAGGCAGUGGAUUUCAAACGUGGUACUGAAAGCAAACGUGGCAGGAAACGUGCAAUGUCCGCCACAGGAGUUACUAAGGCGAAACGUGACCCUACGCCAAAGCAGGCUGCACCUAAACCAAAGCCAGUUAAAGGAAAAGCUGUUUCCCGAGGCAAAAAGCCAGCUGUACCCGGCAUGAUGACCUCAAAGCCAUAUCACACGUUGAUGGGCGAUCCUGAUCUAUCCUGGUACUUGGGACUGGACCCAGACAUUAAGUUUGAAGAUAUUGACCCUACUGAAGACCCCAAGGCUUCUACUGUCGAAAUGGAGGGAGAAGCCGUACACGAGUUGCUACACUCUUGAGGGCACGGAGAAUCUAGACGACAAAGUUUUCGAAAAGAGGCACCAAAAGCUCGAAGCGGAGGAACGGAGACAGCUCAGGUGGCACAUGCGUCGAGUACGGGAGCAGAGACAUGUGGAGAGACUUCGGCUGAGACAGAGGGACUCUUGGUGCGGCGGGAGUGCCUCCCCAGCAUACCAACAGCCUUCGAUCUAUACGAUAUGGCCGCAGCCUCAGAGGGAUGCCCGUUUUAUCGAGAUUACGGAUUCCCUCCCUGUGAUGGCUUUUGGGGAGAUUCUACCUGCUCUACCGGAGACAGAUUUCAUGCUGCCAUGGGUGAGGACCUCGAAAGCUUUGAAGAGAGCAAAGAGAUCUAAGACGCUUCAUUGAAGCUUUCAACGUAAAACGAGGGUAAUGCAUCACAUAACAUGGAAGUGUGGAUAUUCGAUUUUGACAGUAUAAACUUGUCACAAUAAUUAU
rnacentral:misc_RNA from 1 species